rnacentral:rRNA from 1 species
UACGAAGGGGGCUAGCGUUGCUCGGAAUCACUGGGCGUAAAGCGCACGUAGGCGGCUUGUUAAGUCAGGGGUGAAAUCCUGGAGCUCAACUCCAGAACUGCCUUUGAUACUGGGAAGCUUGAGUCCGGGAGAGGUGAGUGGAACUCCGAGUGUAGAGGUGAAAUUCGUAGAUAUUCGGAAGAACACCAGUGGCGAAGGCGGCUCACUGGCCCGGUACUGACGCUGAGGUGCGAAAGCGUGCGGAGCAAACAGG